UGGGCAUCUGUGAUGAGUUGAUUAAAAUUUGUUAUCCUUGCACUUUGAUUCGCAGUGAAGAAAAUCAUGGGGAGUAAUAACUCUGAGAUGCUC